CAUGUGGUUCAGUAUGCAGUUUUUGUAGCUUACCAUAUGGCUUUGGAGACAUCUUUUCUUGCUGCUGAAGGAUUAGGAAUCAUAAAUGAUCCUACUGUAAAUGGUUAUGGACCUGCAAAAAAAUUAGAUCAUGGCAUCAAUAGAUUUUGUAAUAUCCAUUUCAUGAAUGAUCCUACUGUAAAUGUUUAUUCUUUAUUUUAGAAUCUAUUGUGUGUUUGCAAAUUAUCCUUAAUAGUCUGUAUCUGUUUUUUUUUUUAUUUUAGAAUGGAUCAUUCCUAGAGUCGCUGCCUGUCGUAAGGCAACAUAUAAUUGAUGGUUUCAGUCCAAAGGUUCUAAACAUUUUUACAAGAGAGUUUGAUUUCUUUGACAAGGUUACAUCCAUAUCCGGUGUACUAUUUUCACUUCCUAAGGAAGAACGCCGAGCUGGUAUCCGAAGGGAAUUGGAGAAAAUUGAAUUGAACGGUCAAGACCUUUAUCUACCAACAGCUCGUAACAAGCUAUUUUUGCAUGUUUACUAUAUUUUUAACUUUUAACUCCUCCAAUUCAACGAAUAACCUCGAAUUGUGAAGUCUUUCUGGCAACGGUCAUGAAAUCAUAUUCAUAUAUAUUCAUACCUCUCACUCUCACCUUCCAUGAACAAGGCAAAAGCAAGGUAUUUAUUUAUCUGAUCUUCUCCCGUUUGAACUAAUCAUGAUUUAGAAUCUAUAUGCAAGUUGAUGGUAAGCUUCUCUUAAUUUGGUGUUUGCUUUCAAAGUUGUUGAUGGUACAAAUCUAGAAGAGAUAGAGAUAACAACACCUGCUUUUAACGAAGCAAAUUUUGAGAAGGUUGAAAGGCUAAUUGAUAAACCCAUAUUUUAUGAUAUAUAUUGUGCUCAAUUCAAGAGAUUUAUUCAAUCCUUCACCCACUUAUUCAUGUAAAUUGCAUGGUUUUACUUUCCCUUCCUUAUUAUGUGAUAUAUGUGAAUUACAUGUUUCCUAUGCUUUAAAAAUAAUUAUCUUAAUUACCCUUUAUUACCAUUCGAUGCUGUGAUUUGUGUGUUAAGUAGUUUCAGAUCUUCUAAGGCAGGAAUGACUUAAAGGAUGGAAAGGAAAUAUACAAAAAUGGAAGAAAAACAGGGAGUUUUUGCAGAAACUGGCAGCGACGCGAACGCAUGGACGACGCGGCCGCAUGCCCAGCACGAAAAGGGAGCGACGAGGACGCGUGAUUGACGCGACCGCGUGCCUUAACAGAACACAGAUGACGUGGACGCAUGACCGACGCCAACGCGUGACCAGGAAAACUUCAGAUGACGCGACCGCGUGACAGACGCCACGCACCAGAAAUUACAGAAAACGCUCCCAGCGAUUUCUGAAGCCCUUUUUGGCCCAGAUCCAAGUUCAGAGAGCACAGAUUAGAUGAUAUAAAGUGGGGGAAAUGCAUCCAUUCAGGGAAAGAUCUCCAAUUAGUUACUUUUGAUGAUUUAGAUGUAGUUUUUAGAGAGGGAUUCUCUCCUCUCUCUUUUAGGAUUAGGAUUUAGGAUUUUUCUCGCUUUCAUGAUUAUCCCUUUUUAUCAGGUUCAAUAUUCCUUUUCAUUAUUUUCUCAAUUUAAUUCAUGAAAUUUUCCAUGUUACAAUUGAUUUUCUAUUUAAUAUAUCUUGAGGUAUUUCAGACU